CAACGGGGGUAUUCCCCCUAGUACGGCGAGUGAAGCGGGAAGAGCUCAAAUUUGAAAUCUGGUAGCCUUCGGUUGCCCUAGUUGUAAUCUAGAGAAGUGUUUUCCGUGCCGGCCCAUGUACAAGUCCCUUGGAACAGGGCGUCAUAGAGGGUGAGAAUCCCGUCCUUGACAUGGACCCCCGGUGCUUUGUGAUACACUUUCAACGAGUCGAGUUGUUUGGGAAUGCAGCUCAAAAUGGGUGGUGAAUUCCAUCUAAAGCUAAAUAUUGGCGAGAGACCGAUAGCGAACAAGUACCGUGAGGGAAAGAUGAAAAGCACUUUGGAAAGAGAGUUAAACAGUACGUGAAAUUGUUGAAAGGGAAACGAUUGAAGUCAGUCAUGCUCUUUGGUAUUUAUAUCAUUGAGUGGGGUCAACAUCAGUUUUGAGCGAUGGAUAAAGGCACUAGGAAGGUAGCACUCUCGGGUGAACUUAUAGCCUAGCGUCAUAUACAUUGUUUGGGACUGAGGAACGCAGCAUGCCUUUAUGGCCGGGAUUCGUCCACGUACAUGCUUAGGAUGUUGACAUAAUGGCUUUAAACGACCCGUCUUGAAACACGGACCA
rnacentral:rRNA from 1 species